rnacentral:tRNA from 1 species
ACUUUUCUAGUAAAAU